AUGGAUCAAGCAAAGAAAGGGUUCUUGCCUGUCUUACAAGGUGUGAAGUUGAGUCAGACUCAAUGCCCGACCACUGCAGAAGAUAGAGAGAAAAUGAAAGAUGUUCCCUAUGCAUCAGCCAUAGGCUCUAUCAUGUAUGCAAUGCUGUGUACCAGACCUGAUGUGUGCCUUGCUAUAAGUUUAGCAGGGAGGUACCAAAGUAAUCCAGGAGUGGAUCACUGGACAGCGGUCAAGAACAUCCUGAAAUACCUGAAAAGGACUAAGGAUAUGUUUCUCGUAUAUGGAGGUGACAAAGAGCUCAUCGUAAGAGGUUACGUUGAUGCAAGCUUUGACACUGAUCCGGACGAUUCUAAAUCGCAAACCGGAUACGUGUUUACAUUAAACGGUGGAGCUGUCAGUUGGUGCAGUUCUAAACAAAGCGUCGUAGCGGGAUCUACAUGUGAAGCGGAAUACAUAGCUGCUUCGGAAGCAGCAAACGAAGGAGUCUGGAUGAAGGAGUUCUUAUCCGAUCUAGGUGUCAUACCUAGUGCAUCGGGUCCAAUGAAAAUCUUUUGUGACAAUACUGGUGCAAUUGCCUUGGCAAAGGAAUCCAGAUUUCACAAGAGGACCAAGCACAUCAAGAGACGCUUCAAUUCCAUCCGGGAUCUAGUCCAGGUGGGAGACAUAGAGAUUUGCAAGAUACAUACGGAUCUGAAUGUUGCAGACCCGUUGACUAAGCCUCUUCCACGAGCAAAACAUGAUCAGCACCAAGGCUCCAUGGGUGUUAGAAUCAUUACUGUGUAA
rnacentral:rRNA from 1 species